rnacentral:rRNA from 1 species
GUGUUUCAUAAUAAAGGGCUGGAAACUCGCUGGUCUCAUCUGAUCUCAGAAGCUAAGCAGGAUGGGGCCUGGUUAGUACUUGGAUGGGAGAAAGGGCUGGGGACGUAGCUUAGUAUGAAGGCCCUGAGUUCAAAUGCC